UUAGAGUUUGAUCCUGGCUCAGAACGAACGCUGGCGGCGUGGUUUAGGCAUGCAAGUCGAACGAGAAAGCUCCCUUCGGGGGGUGAUUAGAGUGGCGAAAGGGUGAGUAAUAUAUGGACGACUUACCCUCGAGACGGGGAUAACAGCUCGAAAGGGCUGCUAAUACCCGAUGGUUCCGGUUGCUUGCGGGUUUCCGGAUAAAUGGUGCUUCCGCUCGAGGAGAGGUCCAUGUCCUAUCAGCUUGUUGGUGAGGUAAUGGCUCACCAAGGCUAUUACGGGUAGCCGGACUGAGAGGUUGGCCGGUCACACUGGGACUGAGACACUGCCCAGACUCCUACGGGAGGCUGCAGUCGAGAAUCUUCCGCAAUGGGUGAAAGCCUGACGGAGCGACGCCGCGUGCAGGAAGAAGGCCCUCGGGUUGUAAACUGCUGUCACACGUUAAGAAUUGUUGCGGUCUACCGUAACUUGACAAAAGCGUGAGAGGAAGUCACGGCUAACUUCGUGCCAGCAGCCGCGGUAAAACGAAGGUGGCUAGCGUUGUUCGGAAUUACUGGGCGUAAAGAGCACGUAGGUGGUUUCGUGUGUCGAUGGUGAAAUCCUGCAGCUCAACUGUAGAGCUGCCGUCGAAACUACGAGGCUAGAGGACAGGAGGGGAGAGUGGAAUUCCUAGUGUAGCGGUGAAAUGCGUAGAUAUUAGGAGGAACGCCGGUGGCGAAAGCGACUCUCUGGACUGUUUCUGACACUGAGGUGCGAAAGCUAGGGGAGCAAACAGGAUUAGAUACCCUGGUAGUCCUAGCUGUAAACGAUGGGCACUAGGCAGGGGAGGUUCCGAUGCCAUCCUUGCCGUAGCUAAUGCGUUAAGUGCCCCGCCUGGGGAGUAUGGUCGCAAGGCUAAAACUCAAAGGAAUUGACGGGGGCUCACACAAGCGGUGGAGCAUGUGGUUUAAUUCGAAGCAACGCGCAGAACCUUACCCGGGUUUGAAAUGCAGGGAUUAACCUCCUGAAAGGGGAGGGGAUUGCCUUCGGGUGUAACCU
rnacentral:rRNA from 1 species